AAAAUUGCUUUGGGGUCGAUUUACCAUGCUAGUUGCACGAGUUCACACUCGUGGCGAAAAGCUCAGUAACACGUGGCCAAACUACCCUACAGAGAACGAUAACCUCGGGAAACUGAGGCUAAUAGUUCAUACGGGAGUCAUGCUUGAAUGCCGACUCCCCGAAACGCUCCGGCGCUGUAGGAUGUGGCUGCGGCCGAUUAGGUAGACGGUGGGGUAACGGCCCACCGUGCCGAUAAUCGGUACGGGUUGUGAGAGCAAGAACCCGGAGACGGAAUCUGAGACAAGAUUCCGGGCCCUACGGGGCGCAGCAGGCGCGAAACCUUUACACUGCACGCAAGUGCGAUAAGGGGACCCCAAGUGCGAGGGCAUAUAGUCCUCGCUUUUCUCGACUGUAAGGCGGUCGAGGAAUAAGAGCUGGGCAAGACCGGUGCCAGCCGCCGCGGUAAUACCGGCAGCUCAAGUGAUGACCGAUAUUAUUGGGCCUAAAGCGUCCGUAGCCGGCCACGAAGGUUCAUCGGGAAAUCCGCCAGCUUAACUGGCGGGCGUCCGGUGAAAACCACGUGGCUUGGGACCGGAAGGCUCGAGGGGUACGUCCGGGGUAGGAGUGAAAAUCCCGUAAUCCUGGACGGGACCCCCGAUGGCGAAAGCACCUCCGAGAAGACGGAUCCCACGGUGAGGGGACGAAAGCUAGGGUCUCGAACCGGAUUAAAUACCCGGGUAGUC
rnacentral:rRNA from 1 species